UACGUAGGGUGCAAGCGUUGUCCGGAAUUAUUGGGCGUAAAGAGCUCGUAGGCGGUCUGUCGCGUCUGCUGUGAAAACUCAGGGCUUAACCCUGAGCUUGCAGUGGGUACGGGCAGACUAGAGUGCGGUAGGGGAGACUGGAAUUCCUGGUGUAGCGGUGAAAUGCGCAGAUAUCAGGAGGAACACCAGUGGCGAAGGCGGUGCUCUGGGCCGGAACUGACGCUGAGGAGCGAAAGCGUGGGGAGCAAACAGG
rnacentral:rRNA from 1 species